UUAAGCGACUAAGCGUACACGGUGGAUGCCCUGGCAGUCAGAGGCGAUGAAGGACGUGCUAAUCUGCGAUAAGCGUCGGUAAGGUGAUAUGAACCGUUAUAACCGGCGAUUUCCGAAUGGGGAAACCCAGUGUGAUUCGUCACACUAUCAUUAACUGAAUCCAUAGGUUAAUGAGGCGAACCGGGGGAACUGAAACAUCUAAGUACCCCGAGGAAAAGAAAUCAACCGAGAUUCCCCCAGUAGCGGCGAGCGAACGGGGAGCAGCCCAGAGCCUGAAUCAGUGUGUGUGUUAGUGGAAGCGUCUGGAAAGGCGCGCGAUACAGGGUGACAGCCCCGUACACAAAAAUACACAUAUUGUGAGCUCGAUGAGUAGGGCGGGACACGUGGUAUCCUGUCUGAAUAUGGGGGGACCAUCCUCCAAGGCUAAAUACUCCUGACUGACCGAUAGUGAACCAGUACCGUGAGGGAAAGGCGAAAAGAACCCCGGCGAGGGGAGUGAAAAAGAACCUGAAACCGUGUACGUACAAGCAGUGGGAGCACGCUUAGGCGUGUGACUGCGUACCUUUUGUAUAAUGGGUCAGCGACUUAUAUUCUGUAGCAAGGUUAACCGAAUAGGGGAGCCGAAGGGAAACCGAGUCUUAACUGGGCGUUAAGUUGCAGGGUAUAGACCCGAAACCCGGUGAUCUAGCCAUGGGCAGGUUGAAGGUUGGGUAACACUAACUGGAGGACCGAACCGACUAAUGUUGAAAAAUUAGCGGAUGACUUGUGGCUGGGGGUGAAAGGCCAAUCAAACCGGGAGAUAGCUGGUUCUCCCCGAAAGCUAUUUAGGUAGCGCCUCGUGAAUUCAUCUCCGGGGGUAGAGCACUGUUUCGGCAAGGGGGUCAUCCCGACUUACCAACCCGAUGCAAACUGCGAAUACCGGAGAAUGUUAUCACGGGAGACACACGGCGGGUGCUAACGUCCGUCGUGAAGAGGGAAACAACCCAGACCGCCAGCUAAGGUCCCAAAGUCAUGGUUAAGUGGGAAACGAUGUGGGAAGGCCCAGACAGCCAGGAUGUUGGCUUAGAAGCAGCCAUCAUUUAAAGAAAGCGUAAUAGCUCACUGGUCGAGUCGGCCUGCGCGGAAGAUGUAACGGGGCUAAACCAUGCACCGAAGCUGCGGCAGCGACGCUUAUGCGUUGUUGGGUAGGGGAGCGUUCUGUAAGCCUGCGAAGGUGUGCUGUGAGGCAUGCUGGAGGUAUCAGAAGUGCGAAUGCUGACAUAAGUAACGAUAAAGCGGGUGAAAAGCCCGCUCGCCGGAAGACCAAGGGUUCCUGUCCAACGUUAAUCGGGGCAGGGUGAGUCGACCCCUAAGGCGAGGCCGAAAGGCGUAGUCGAUGGGAAACAGGUUAAUAUUCCUGUACUUGGUGUUACUGCGAAGGGGGGACGGAGAAGGCUAUGUUGGCCGGGCGACGGUUGUCCCGGUUUAAGCGUGUAGGCUGGUUUUCCAGGCAAAUCCGGAAAAUCAAGGCUGAGGCGUGAUGACGAGGCACUACGGUGCUGAAGCAACAAAUGCCCUGCUUCCAGGAAAAGCCUCUAAGCAUCAGGUAACAUCAAAUCGUACCCCAAACCGACACAGGUGGUCAGGUAGAGAAUACCAAGGCGCUUGAGAGAACUCGGGUGAAGGAACUAGGCAAAAUGGUGCCGUAACUUCGGGAGAAGGCACGCUGAUAUGUAGGUGAAGUCCCUUGCGGAUGGAGCUGAAAUCAGUCGAAGAUACCAGCUGGCUGCAACUGUUUAUUAAAAACACAGCACUGUGCAAACACGAAAGUGGACGUAUACGGUGUGACGCCUGCCCGGUGCCGGAAGGUUAAUUGAUGGGGUCAGCGCAAGCGAAGCUCUUGAUCGAAGCCCCGGUAAACGGCGGCCGUAACUAUAACGGUCCUAAGGUAGCGAAAUUCCUUGUCGGGUAAGUUCCGACCUGCACGAAUGGCGUAAUGAUGGCCAGGCUGUCUCCACCCGAGACUCAGUGAAAUUGAACUCGCUGUGAAGAUGCAGUGUACCCGCGGCAAGACGGAAAGACCCCGUGAACCUUUACUAUAGCUUGACACUGAACAUUGAGCCUUGAUGUGUAGGAUAGGUGGGAGGCUUUGAAGUGUGGACGCCAGUCUGCAUGGAGCCGGCCUUGAAAUACCACCCUUUAAUGUUUGAUGUUCUAACGUGGACCCGUGAUCCGGGUUGCGGACAGUGUCUGGUGGGUAGUUUGACUGGGGCGGUCUCCUCCUAAAGAGUAACGGAGGAGCACGAAGGUUGGCUAAUCCUGGUCGGACAUCAGGAGGUUAGUGCAAUGGCAUAAGCCAGCUUGACUGCGAGCGUGACGGCGCGAGCAGGUGCGAAAGCAGGUCAUAGUGAUCCGGUGGUUCUGAAUGGAAGGGCCAUCGCUCAACGGAUAAAAGGUACUCCGGGGAUAACAGGCUGAUACCGCCCAAGAGUUCAUAUCGACGGCGGUGUUUGGCACCUCGAUGUCGGCUCAUCACAUCCUGGGGCUGAAGUAGGUCCCAAGGGUAUGGCUGUUCGCCAUUUAAAGUGGUACGCGAGCUGGGUUUAGAACGUCGUGAGACAGUUCGGUCCCUAUCUGCCGUGGGCGCUGGAGAACUGAGGGGGGCUGCUCCUAGUACGAGAGGACCGGAGUGGACGCAUCACUGGUGUUCGGGUUGUCAUGCCAAUGGCACUGCCCGGUAGCUAAAUGCGGAAGAGAUAAGUGCUGAAAGCAUCUAAGCACGAAACUUGCCCCGAGAUGAGUUCUCCCUGACCCUUUAAGGGUCCUGAAGGAACGUUGAAGACGACGACGUUGAUAGGCCGGGUGUGUAAGCGCAGCGAUGCGUUGAGCUAACCGGUACUAAUGAACCGUGAGGCUUAACCUU
rnacentral:rRNA from 1 species